rnacentral:miRNA from 1 species
CCGGACGGCCUUCCUCAAGAGCGCAGAAUGGUCAUGUCCACCAGCCAAGGCAGGCUGGGCUGUGCAGGUGGCCACCUGGGUGAGCCUGC